UACGAAGGGGGGCUAGCGUUGCUCGGAAUCACUGGGCGUAAAGCGCACGUAGGCGGAUCUUUAAGUCAGGGGUGAAAUCCCGAGGCUCAACCUCGGAACUGCCCUUGAUACUGGGGAUCUCGAGUCCGGAAGAGGUUGGUGGAACUCCGAGUGUAGAGGUGAAAUUCGUAGAUAUUCGGAAGAACACCAGUGGCGAAGGCGGCCAACUGGUCCGGCACUGACGCUGAGGUGCGAAGCGUGGGGAGCAAACAGG
rnacentral:rRNA from 1 species